rnacentral:rRNA from 1 species
CCUACGGGGGGCAGCAGUGGGGAAUAUUGCACAAUGGGCGAAAGCCUGAUGCAGCAACGCCGCGUGAAGGAAGACGGCCUUCGGGUCUUAAACUUCUGUCCUUGGGGAAGAAGAACUGACUGUACCCAAGGAGGAAGCCCCGGCAAACUACGUGCCAGCAGCCGCUGGAAUACGUAGGGGGCAAGCGGUAUCCGGAAUUCUUGGGUGUAAGGAGUACGUAGGUGGCAACCUAAGCGCAGGGUUUAAGGCAAUGGCUCAACCAUUGUUCGCCCUGCGAACUGGGUUGCUUGAGUCCAGGAGAGGAAAGCGGAAUUCGUAGUGUAGCGGUGAAAUGCGUAGAUAUUAGGAGGAACACCAGUGGCGAAGGCGGCUUUCUGGAGUGUAACUGACACUGAGGUACGAAAGCGUGGGGAGCAAACAGGAUUAGAUACCCUUGUAGUC